GCAUAUAUGGCUGAGCGGUCGAAAGCACUGGACUCAUAAUCCAUUUCCUCUUAGGGGACAUCGUAGGUUCAAACCCUACUAUAUGCA
rnacentral:tRNA from 1 species